GACGAACGCUGGCGGCGUGCUUAACACAUGCAAGUCGAACGGAAAGGCCCUGCUUUUGUGGGGUGCUCGAGUGGCGAACGGGUGAGUAACACGUGAGUAACCUGCCCUUGACUUUGGGAUAACUUCAGGAAACUGGGGCUAAUACCGGAUAGGAGCUCCUGCUGCAUGGUGGGGGUUGGAAAGUUUCGGCGGUUGGGGAUGGACUCGCGGCUUAUCAGCUUGUUGGGGGGGUAGGGGCUUACCAAGGCUUUGACGGGUAGCCGGCCUGAGAGGGUGACCGGACACAUUGGGCCUGAGAUACGGCCCAGACUCCUACGGGAGGCAGCAGUGGGGAAUAUUGCACAAUGGGCGGAAGCCUGAUGAAGAAACGCAGGGUGCGGGAUAACGGCCUUCGGGUUGUAAACCGCUUUCGCAUGUGACGAAGCGUGAGUGACGGUAAUGAGUAAAGAAGCACCGGCUAACUACGUG
rnacentral:rRNA from 1 species